GUUUAAAUAGCUUAUAAUUUUAGAGUUUAAUAUUGAAGCUAUUAAGGAAAUAUAUUUUAUUUUUAAAUG
rnacentral:tRNA from 1 species